UCGGGAAUUUUGGGCAAUGGGCGAAAGCCUGACCCAGCAACGCCGCGUGAAGGAUGAAGUAUUUCGGUAUGUAAACUUCGUAAGAAUAGGAAGAAUAAAUGACGGUACUAUUUGUAAGGUCCGGCUAACUACGUGCCAGCAGCCGCGGUAAUACGUAGGGACCAAGCGUUGUUCGGAUUUACUGGGCGUAAAGGGCGCGUAGGCGGCAAUUCAAGUCAUCUGUGAAAUCUCUGGGCUUAACCCAGAACGGCCAAGUGAUACUGUCGCGCUAGAGUGCAGAAGGGGCAAUCGGAAUUCUUGGUGUAGCGGUGAAAUGCGUAGAUAUCAAGAGGAACACCUGAGGUGAAGACGGGUUGCUGGGCUGACACUGACGCUGAGGCGCGAAAGCCAGGGGAGCAAACGGGAUUAGAUACCCUUGUAGUCCCUGAGCGGGCUGGCAAGGCGCAU
rnacentral:rRNA from 1 species